UUUUUCUUCAUCUCCAAAGGUGACUGGUAAUUCAACACCUACCCUCAAUCCUGUCUUCAGCACAUUCACAAUGAACUUCUCAUUGCAAAACUGUUCUGCGAAUAUUGGCCAUGUUAUCAUAGGUACACCAGCACAUAUGCCUUCUAGAGUCGAGUUCCAUCCACAAUGAGUUAAGAAUCCCCCAAUACUGGGAUGGGACAAUAUUAGUACUUGUGGUGCCCAACCAUGGAUUAAAAGGCCUCUACCCUUAAUCCUCUCCUCGAAUUUUUCUCCGACUAGCCAUGCUUGAAAUUCAUCCGAUACCUUUCGAAUAACCCACACGAACGGUCUAUUGGACGCUUCUAAGCCUAAACCAAGCUCUAUCAGUUGUGCAGUUGCUAGUCGAGAUAAACUUCCUAGGCAAACAUAAAGAACAGAGUUCAGUUCCUGCGAAUUGAGCCAUUUCAUGCAACGAUCUUCAUCAAUUGAGGCCUUGUUACCUCUUUCAGCCUUGUCUAACUGUUCUUUGUUGUAUAAAGAAACUGGACCAAUACACCAAACCUUUUUGCCUCUCACCUUUAUAUAUUCUUUCAAAUACUCAGGUUCCAACUCUUCGAAAGUAUUAGCCACUACCCCAAAUGCUUCUGUCUCAGCCUCCUUUAUCAGCUCCCUUACAGCGUUCCAAUCUGAUGUCAUUUGAUUGACAGUUCCUCUAAGCUGAGCCUUAGUUAGUUCAAUUCCACCAGGCAAUCCAGGCACGACGAAAUACUCCAAGUCAGAGGCUAUGUUUUCGAAAUCCUUGGAGAUUCCCAGGAGGUGCAAACAUAAGAGAGAAAAACAACUAGUCCCAUGAAACACAAUCCUCGGAAUACCACAGUUUUGAGCAACGUUUGUUGUCCAAGGAAAGCACAUAUCGGAUAUUAAACAACUCGGCGCAGGUUUCAUCUCUUUUCGUAGCAAUUCUUCGACCUGCUCCCGCAACAUGCCUACAGCAGUGAAGAACUUCAGUGCCAAAUCCAUGGACCAGAUCAUGUCGAAGUUUUCGCACCCUUCCGGCAGGCCUGCUUCCACACUCGGAAAUUUGAGUUCCACCACACGAAUUUGCAGCCCAGAACGGAUUGCACGAGCAACAACUGUUUUGAACCUGUUAUGGUUAACAGGGGUGGUUAAAAUGGUGACAAUAACACCACGUUUUGCCAGCAACCUGGCAAUGUCUACCAUGGGAAUGCUAUGGCCUUCGGCCAUGAAAGGAAGCAACAAAAAGUGAAGUUUUUGUUCAUGGAUAGCCAUUGGAGAGACUGGAUAGGGUUAGCUGCUGAAUGAUCUACCUUUGCUACUGCUAAAUCUUAAGGCUUAAAAUAGUGCUGCUAAGAUGCUUCUAAUUUGGCAUUUAGCUUGUUAUGUAAGAGCCCAUAUUAGCAUACUCAGAUUACCCUGUAUUUUAAUAUUAUGUGGCUCUCGUUGAACCAUAUCGCUUACGUAUUUUAUCAUUUGCAAGUCGAAAUGAACCACAUUGCUUACGUAUUUUAUCAUUUGCAAGUCAAAACCAAUUUUAGUCAAAAUCUUCAUACACGCCUAAUUUUUAACAAGGUGAGACUCAAAUUCUGAAUAUCUAUCCUCUUCAAUACCAUUUUGAACCACCUCAAUUAAAACUUUUGUUGUUAAACAUCGGCUAUUUGUCAUAUAGUCGAGGAGCUUACAUAUAUGCCUUCACUUGUUGCUCAAAAUAGAAUUGUUAGGAGGCUUCUAAUUUGGCUUUUAGCUGCUGAUAUAAGAGCACACAUUAGCUUACUUAGAGAUUAUUCUGAAUUCUAAUAUUAUGUGGCUCUUGUUAAACCAUCUUGUUUCUAAACUUAAGCAUGUUAUCAAUUGCAAGUCGAAACCUGUUUUAGUCAAAAUUUUAAUGCAUUUUACAACAUCUCUCUUCUUCAAUUUGAACAACCUCAAUUAGAACUUCAGUUGUUACACAACGGCUAGUUGUCAUAUAGUCGACGAACUUGUGUACACCUCGGCUUGUUGCUUAAAAUUGUAUUGCUAGGAUGCUUCUAAUUUGGCUUUUAGCUGCUGAUGUAAGAGCUUACAUUAGCAUAUUCAUAGAUUAUCCUGGAUUCUAAUAUUAUGUGGCUCUUGUUGAACCACCUCAUUUAUAAGCUUAAACGUGUUAUCACUUUCAGGUCAAAAUCAGUUUUAGUCAAAAUCUUCAUACAUUCAUAAUUUUUACCAAGGUGAGACUUAAAAUGGGAGAUUUUUAUAAAUGGCUUGCUACUAUUCAUUUUUGAUAAAAUGUCUAUAAUACCCUUAAUGAAAGGAUUUGUCAUAUUUUGCACAAGAUAUCCUUAAUUUAUUGGGAUAGUUCCAAAAUUUUUCUAUUUCUCUCGUUUCGAAUUUUAAUAUAUAGUUUCAUCCUUUGAUCUAAUAAAUUAGCAUAAUCUUUAAUAUAAUUGUCAUGUAAUUCACUAAGAUUAUCAUAUUCUUUAGAUGAAAUAUCCAUAGUCUCUAGUUGAGCAAAAAUAGUUCUUAUUUUUUCUAAUAGUUUUUCUAACAGAUUAUCUAAUCCUUUAAUUGUAUAACCUGACAUUAUUUAGAUAAUUUCUUGCAAACUUUAUGAAUAAUAAUAACAUGUUAGAUAAGUUUUUUGCAAACAUGAAAAGUAAUAAUCCCUACGAUUCUUUCAAGAUAUUAGAAGAGUUCUUUCUAAAUUUAACAAAGACAAUAAUUUUACCUUGCUUUUGAUCUUAAAUCUGUAUUCUUAGAAUCGAGUGACCUUCAGGCUCUGAAUCUGCAAACUACUCCCUCAAACGGCCUUUUGCCUCAAUGGGAAUUCUGCUAUUUCAGCUUCUGCCCUCACUGUAUCUUUUCUUAGAAUUAAGAGUAAGGAUCUUAAGCAAAGAAAAUUCUUUCUUUGUUAAAGUAAGAAAGAAAUUAUCUUCUUUAAUCUAUCAAGAAUCUAUGGGAUAGGAGGUUUAGAAACUCAUAUUUUUCUGAUAUCAAAAGAUUGAGAUUUUAUUUCUAUAAUGAUUUAUACAAGAUUUUUAUUGUAUACAAGGAGUUUCCAGAAAAACUGAUUUUUAAAGAAAACUUAAGGAAAGAGAAUGGUUUCUAACUCGAGAUGAUCCAUUCUUUCCCAAAGACCUCUAUUUAUACAUGACUCAAACUCACUAUUAUUGAUCUAUUACAUCAUUGCAUACAUCAAAAUUUUGAAAAAAGGCUCACAUGCCUCUCUAUUCUUUUUCCCCCCGGGGUCUACAUUUUCACAUGCAUUUUUUGUCUUUCCAUCAAAGGGGCAUCUUUUUCUCUAUUAUUGCCUUUUCAUCUUUGGCUCCAUAUGCAGCUGGUUAGAUGCUUUUCUAUUAUUGCUUUUCCAUCUUUGGCUUCAUAUGUAGCUGGCUAGAUGCUUUGAUAGUGGUAGGUCCUUUUCCAUCCAUCAAUCUUUCAAUUUUGUCUACAUGUGGGGCACUCCCUCAAUCUGCAUGAUUCUUGGAUUGUUGUUGGACUUCCACUAACUUGAUGGGUAUCAAAUUUUUGGAUGUAUUUUUUUCAAAAUGGUAGAUUUUUCUUUUCCAUUAUUUGUAAGGAGUGUCCAUCCUUCAUAUUGGCACAAACAUCUGAAUUUUUUAUCAUAUAAGUUCUUUGCAAUGUUGUAAAGAACUUUCAUCCCCAAACUCUUCGAGAUUUUAUUCAUGAUUUAUUGAUUUUAGGCAGUGGUUUAUUAUUUCGGCCAACUUCAAUUUGGAAAUCUCGGCCAACAUAUCCAAUUGUAAUAAUAUGUUCAGCAGGAUAGUAUAUCCUUCCAUCAACUUCGAGACUUAUUGAAUACAAUUUGAUAUAAAUCGACCUCCUUUAGGCAAAUUUUGAAACUUCUGCCCUGAAUAUAUCAUCAAAUUUUUCAAUUUCUUUCAAAUAUUUUCCUGGAUAGAUCAAAUCCAGAAAUCCAUAAUCUGCUGCCAUCUUGACCAUGAAAGGGUCUGCAUCUUUGGUAAUUAUUAAUCUGGGAUAAACAUGAUCUCCUGAUGCAAUAAAAUAAGAUUCAUUUUCUUCCAAUUCAUAAACAAUCUUGGCAAAUGAUCUAUAUUCUUCUUCUUUUGAUGAUAAAGGGGUAUCAUCAUCUUCAUCANNNNNNNNNNNNNNNNNNNNNNNNNNNNNNCUCUAACUGCUAAAUUCCAAUUUUCAUAUCUUCAGAUUCUUCCAUGAGAAAUUUCAUUCAUCUGUUGACGUCUAUUAAUAAAUUUUUGAUAUUAUCCAUCUCCGAAUUCAAUAUUCCUGCUCAAAAAAUCUGCAAGAUAGUUAUUUAUUCCUUUAAUAUGAAUAAUAUCAAAAUUGUAAAAUGAUAAAUAUGCUUGUCAUCUGUGUAACCUUCUAUAUUGAGAUUUCAUAGGUAACUUAUUUCUAAUAAGACCUGCAACUUGAUAAUUAUCAGUUUCAACAAUGAAUUUUUAAGAUAAAAGGAAUAAUGAAAAUUUUUUUAUUCCUCUAAUAAUUGCUAAUAAUUCUUUUUCAUGGGUAGUAUAAUUUAUUUCUGCUUGGUUAAAAGUUUCACUUGAAUAUCUGCAUAUUUCAUUUAAAUCUAUUUUUAAUAUAGCUGCCCAAUAUUUAUCCGAGGCAUCAGUAUUAACAAUUAAAUUAUCUUUUUCAUCUGGUAAUCUUAAUUUUGGUAAAUUUUUACAUCCUUCUUUUAAUGCUUUAACAAUUUCAGUAUGUUCUUUAUUCCAACCUUUAGUAUUUGUUUUUCUAAGUAGAAUUUGUAUCUUAUGUCUCUUUUUUGAGAGAUUUUCAAUAAAUCCUUCAGCAUAGUUUAAACAUCCUAAAAAUUUUUGUAUUUGUUCUUUGGAUUUUAAUUCAUCUGGAAAGCUUUCUAUCUUUUUAGAUAUAUGAGUCUGUAAUUUUAUUCCUUUUCUAUCUAUUGAUAAUUCUAAAAAAUCUAUUUCUUGUUUCUCUAUUAUAGAUUUCUUUUUAGAGAGUACAAUCCCUUCCUUUUUGCAUUCAUUUAUGAAUUAUAAUAAAUGAUUCAUAUGCUCUUUUUUAUUAUUAGAGCAUAUUAGUAUAUCAUCAAUAUAAACAAUAAGAAAAUCACUAUACUUUUUGAAUAUAUUAUCCAUUUUUUUUUGAUAUAUUUGUGGUGCAUUUUUUAAACCAAAUGGCAUAACUAACCAUUCAUAUUUUCCUUGAGGUGUACUAAAAGCUGUAUAUUGUAUACUAUCUUCUUCCAUUUUUAUUUGCCAGAAUCCUAAUUUACAAUCAAAUUUGGAAUAAUAUUGUUUUCCUUUUGCAAGAUUUAUUAAGACUUCUUUAUUUGGUAAAAAGUAACCAUCAAAUUUAGUAUAUUUAUUUAAUUCUUUAUAAUUUAUUACCAUUAUAGCUUUUCCUCUAAUCUGCUCAGAAUGUUUCAUAACUAUAAAAGCUAGACUACUGUGAGGUCCAUUACUGGGUCUAAUUAGCUUUUGUUCUAAUAGUUCUUUUAUCUGAAUUUUAAAGUCUUGCAUAUCUUGUAAGGUAUACAUCAUUGGUCUAACUCUUAUUAUAACAUUUUCUAUUAAUUCUACUUUAGCUUUAGGAUGAUAUGGUUUCCAUAAUAAUGGGUUUUCUCCAUAAAUUUUUCCUAAUUGUUCUAUGAUUUUUUCCAUACUUAUCUCUAUUUCUGUUUUUAGGAUCUUUUUAUAUGAUAGUUUUUUAUUUUUUAGUUCAUUUUGUACUAUUGGUCUUUUUUCCCAUUUAUCACCACGCUUGGCUAGCUGAACUCUGUAGGGUCUAAAUUCUCUUGGUAUUUUUAAUAGAUGUGCACAAGGUGUUUGUAACAUUAUCAUGUAAUUAUUUUGUUUGUAAUAUUGAAAUUGUUGGAUAAAAUCAUUUCCUAAUAGUAUAUCACAUUCUAACUUAUUAUAAUUAUAUACUUUAUUUAUUAUAACUUGUUUACUACCAAGUAUUAUAUUAAUUUUUUCAGCACUAUCAAUUAUUUGAGUACUUUCUCCAGUCACUCCUUUUAUUUUUAUUUUACUAUUUUUAUUCCAUGAUUUUACUAAGAAAUUUUUAAAAAUUGUUAUAUUACUUCCUGUAUCAAUUAAGGUACAAGUUGUUAUGUUUGUUUCUACUAUUGUAACUUGUAUAUAUACUUCCAAUGGAAAGCUUAUUUGAUUAUUCAUCCACUUCCUAUUUUACAUAAUGUAGUUUGUUCUUUAUGAGUUAUAUAUAAUCAUUCUCUUUUUAUACUAUAAUCUUCUAAUCCAUUUAGGAAACUCAUUCCUAAUAGUAAAUGAGGUUCAAUAUCCAUACUUUCAUCCAAAUAACAUGGUACUAAAAGAUCAAUCCCACCUAUUUUUAUUGGUACUUUAACCUUUAAUUCUGUGAUAUAUAGUUGUCAAUCAAAAUUCCUAUAUUCAUAUGGUUCUAUCUUGUAAGUCAUUAAUCCUUCAUUUUUAUUUGCAGUCAUAUGAUAUUCACCAGCUCCUGUAUCUAUCAAUAUAUUUGGUCCUUUUAUUUACCUUCUACUAUUGAAAUAUUUUCCUUCUAUUUUCAUAUUUCUAAUAUUUCCAUGAGAUUUUAUUUCUUUUAUACCACUAGUUUCUCCCAAAUAUUCCUUUUUAUUUGGUAGUUUAAGACUUUUUGAUUUCUUUAUCAACCUUUCAUUAUGAAAUGUUAUUUUAUAGUCUUCUUCUUCUUUUAACUCUGUUAUUUCAGGCUUAUUUUUAGUUAUAUUAAACUCAUAUUCUUCUGGAAUAAGAUUUAUUUGUUUAUUUGGUUCCACUAUUUUACUAAUAUCCUUACAUUCCUUAUGAAUUUCUAUGUAUGGUUUAUUAGAAUAAAUAUUCCCAUAAUUGGAAUUAGUAAAUGUAUAUAAUGCCCUAUAUUCCAUAGUCAUAAUUUGGUCUCCUGGUUCCAUUAUAUCAUUUCUAUGUAAUUUGAUAUGUUAUCCUAAGACUUCUUUAAAGUUUUUAUCUUUCAAUGAGACACAAUAUUUUGGGUAAUAAGUAAAUAUUAACUUUUGAUAUGCUAAAUUUCCUUCUAUAGUUCCUAAAUGACCAUCUUCAAGAUUUAUAAUUCUUCCAUCUUGUAAACUUACAGUUACUGGUGAAUCUAUUCCUUCCCUAAAUAAGGAUUUAAACAUUAUUUGUAUUCCUGCUAAAUAAACAUAUUGGAUCUUUUCACUAUACUUUUUACUUAUUUUUUAUAAUAAUUCUGAUACUGUACUUUUUGUUAAAAGAUUUAUUUUAUGUGUUCCUUGAGUGGUUCUAACAUUUAUAGUUUUUUUAAUCUUAUGGUAUUCAUUUAUUGCUAUUCUUUCUCUUCUCCAUAUUCUAUCUAGAAUUUCCCAUUUUCCUAUUUUCAAAUCUAAGGAUAAUUUUUGUAUUUUCUUAAAUUUAUUAUUAUCAAAAGUUACUUUUAAUCCAUAACCUUCUAUUCCCUCAUAUUCUUGGAUUUCUAUGUUAUUAUUUUCUAUUUCUUCAAUUUCUCUAUUCAGAUUCUGAUCCAUAAUCUUCUGAAUCUACUUCACUUAUAAAUAUUUCUUGAUUAUUAUAAUUUUCAAUAUCAGAUAUUUCACUUAAUUCGCUUUCUAUUUCAAAAUAAUCCUUUUGUAAUAUUCUCACUUUUUUCUUUGUGCAAUCUGGACUUAUAUGGCAUAUUUCUCCACAAUUCCAACACUUGCAUUGUUUCUUAUCUUUCUUAUAAGGUUUAUUUUUCUGUAUAUUAUUUUUCCUUUUAUAAUAUUUCCUUCCAGGUUUUAUGUAUUUUUUUCUUAAAGUUUCUAUAUUUUUUAAACUUCCUGUUUUUAUAUUUUCUUUUAUUUCUUUUUUAAGAAUUACAUCCCCAUCUUGUAGGUUUUUCCAUGUCUUCACAACAUAUUCUAGUUAAUUUUCCUGAUUUUUUCAAUAAUUGUCCUUGUUGACAUAUAUAUGCAAGUCUUUCAAACAAGAAUUUUAUUCUUGAUCCUAGUGUUCUAGGUAUUCCUAUAUUUUCUUUAAUAUAUUUUUCAAAUUCUAUUUUAAAAUAUAUCCCCCAUGAACCUGGUAAUUUAUUAUAAUACAUAUAUUGAUAUACUUCUUGAUUCUCAUUACUAUAAAAUUGAGUAUAAUAGUAAUCCUUGAAUUCACAAGUAUAUUCUUUAAUUUUACACAUAUCACAAAUUGUUAAAUUAAUUAGCUUAACUCUUGCAUUAUAUUUUUCUCGUAUUGCUUCUUCUUCAUAAUUUCUUAGCCAAUUUUCCCCUAAGAAUUCAUCUGCAAUAUAUUCUACCAAUCUUUCUAUUCCUAAUUUAUCUGAUUUUAUUAUUUCUGUUUGUACAUUUCUUUCUAUUAAUGAUUUUGUAUCACUAUUAAUUCAUUCCCACCAAUUUCUAACAUUUCCUUCAAAAGAUGCAAUUAGAAAAUCUAUUCUCCUUUCAGUAUUUUUCCAUGUAUCAUCUUUAUUAUAUAAAAAGAAUAAUAUCAUUGAGUCUGCCCAAGUUAUUAUCUAUUAUCAUAAAAUUGCCUAUAUGGUUUAUUAUACAUUGGAGCAUAGCUUUCAUCUGGAUGUAUUGAUUCUUGUUUAGAGGUUCCUACGGGAUUAAGUCCUCCUCCAGUAUUCAUUAAGAUUUGGUAUUCAUCAUCUAUACUUCCUAAACUUAAAUGAUCAAAAUUAUCUAUAAGCAGAUCUAAUUCUUCAUUCAUCUUCUUUGUCUUGAUUUUCUUCAAUUUUUUGUUUACCUAAUAUUUUUUCUCUAAAUUCCUCUUAUUCUAUUAUUUUAGGUAAUAUAUUUUUUCUAAACUCAUCAUCCAUGCUUCGUGUUUCUAUUAUUAUAUUUUUCCUUUCAAUAUAUUUUUUCCCCAUUCUGGUUAUUUCUUUUUCUAUAAAUUUUUUAUCUAUUCUAUUAUUCUUUUCUUCAUUUUCUUUUAAUUUUCUGACUUUAAGUUUCAAUAUAUUUAUAUCAUUUCUUACUUCUUUUAUUUCAUUCUUUACUUCUUGUACAUCAUUUAUUAAUGUUCUUAUUAAAUAUUUUAAUUCUUCCAUAUGUUCACUGAUUGACAUUUUAUCUAUUUUUUGAUUGACAAUAAUAAAAUACUAUACACUCAGCAUUUUUACACUCUUUUAUCAUUUUAUCAUAUUUUUGUUUUAUAACUUCAGGAUUUGUUAUCUUUUUUAAUUUUUCAUAAUACCUUGCUUUUUCUUUAUACCUUUCUUGUUUUAAUUUUAAUAUUUGUUUUUCUUGAGCUUUAGUUAUUUUUCCUGGUAUUAAUAAUUCAUCUAAAAUUUUAUUAUUUAUUAAUCUUAUUCUUUCUAACUUCCUUUCUAAAAUAUUUUUAGUUUUUUCCAUUAUAUUCUUAUGAUGAUUCAUAUAUUUCUCUAUGAUACAAUUCAUUUUCAAAUAUUUCACAAAUUAUUUCAUAUGUACGUCUAUCUUUGAUAAAUCCUACAAUUAAUUUAUGUAAUAUUUGUUCCUUUAUUUCUCUAGGUAAACUCCUAGUUAUAUAUAAUGUUAUUAUUUUUAAUUUAUUAGGGAUGGGGUUGUAAAAUAUAUAGCAUCCUUUUUCUUCAAUACAUUGAUAAUAAUUAUUUAUUUUUAAGAUUUCCAUGAUAAAGUAAUUUCAGAUUACUAUGAAAUCUAUUUCACUCUGGAUUACUUUUAAUAUAUAUAUAUAUAUAUAUAUAUAUAUACUAAUUUUUUGUAUGCUUGUGGUAAUCUAUUUUUUAUUAAUCUUCUCAUAAAUUUUUAAGUAAUUCUUCAAAAUCUAGUAAUGUUUGAGAAUUUAUAAUAUCAACAUCUGUUAUCAUAUCUACGUCUGCUCUAAAAUGUAUAUCAUAUUUUGAGAUACUUUUCUUUCUUUUUUCCAAUUUAUCUAUUAUAUCUUGUAUAUCUUUUAUAAUUAUUGAUCUUACAAUUCCUUUAGCAAAAUUUUCUAAUAAAUUUUUUUUGAAAUAUUUUAAUAUUUCUUGUGAUGCAUAUAAUUGUUCUUGAUAUCCUAUCUUAUCAAUUUCUUUUUCAAACUUAAUUUCUUUUUUAUUUUUAACAAUCUUUUUUAUAUUAUAUGGUCCUCUCUUAUAUUUGGGUUUUUCUAUUUUAUGAUUAUUCAUUAAUAAUUCUCACAAAUUUUAGAAAAAUUAUUUGUUAAUUAUUAAGGACUUAAAUAGAAGGUUUAUAUUAGAUAAAGGGUUGUUUUUUAAUAUUUGUUUAAGGGUGUUUUAGGUAGUUCAAAAUGUUUAUAAAAGUCAAAGGUCAUUUUGGAAAAUCCUUCUUUUAUUUGGGUUAUUUUCAUGUAUUUCCCGACUUAAAUUCAGAACCUUUGUCCUCUUCAAUACCAUACGGAACUACCUCAAUUAAAAAAUUUUGUUAGACAUUGAUGAGUUGUCAUAUAGUCAACAAAUUGCGUAUACUCCUCCACUUGUUGCUCAAAAUAAUAUUGCUAGGAUGCUUCUAAUUUUGGCUUUUAGCUGCUGAUUUAACCUACACUAGCAUAUAUUCACAGGUUAUCCUGAAUUCUAAUAUUAUGUAAUUCUUGUUGAACCAUUAUGUUUCUGAGUUUAAAGCUUUAUGUUACACCUUUUGGCAAGACAUUUUCUUCUUAGUUUAGGCAUGUAAUUUUUAUUCUUGACAGAUGACUUUCAAAAUGAAAAGACGAGGAAUUUACAUGCACAAAUUUUCCACAGAAAUUGCACUACUGGAUUUUAACGUUUGACCAAGUUGCAAGUUAGUCUUCAACUUACGAAAAGGAAAAGAUUGGUCUUAAUAUUUCAAAAUAGGUGAAUAUUAGUCCAAUUGGACCGUUUAGAUCAUAUCUAUGGUGGCAAUUACGUGACAAAUUCAGAGGCGGAUUUAGGGGGGGCUGGGCUGGGUUGUAGCCCCCCCUCCUCAGGCCCAAUAACUUUUUUAAGGUAUUUUUUAUUUGAUUUUUUGGUAAAAAAUCAGUUUUUUAUGUGUAAAUUUUUUUUUUCGGCAUAGUAGUCCGGUUUGAAAUUUUGUAGCCUGGUCUUGGAUCCGCCCCUGCACAAAUCGUUAUAGGAGAAAAUCGGUAGUAUACAAAUGAUAGUAGAAGAGAAAAAAGUUUUAAAAUUUUGUUUUAUAUUUUCAUUUUACCCCUAUAAUAAUUGGUUGGCCACUCGAGGACUCACUAGUAAAUUUGAUGAAAUCGGUUGAUCGUAAAUAAUGGCACAAUGCUAAUAAAGAGAUGAACAUUAACAUGUUUAGUUUCGUCAAGUGAAACUAACUUGCGUUCAAAUAAUAGAUUGCAACUUAUUUCAGUUAUAAUGUCUCCAAGACUAAUAUUCCAUGAAAAUUAGAACUGUCCAAAAUUUUUACUGAAUAUUUACUCUUUUGACUUUUGUUGGAGAUUGGUGGGGUAGGUGUUAAAACUUUUGGCUGCCUCACUAUUAUUCUUGGCCAGUUAAGCUGUAUGCAGUUGGGCCUGAUGUUUAAGUUUUGUUAAAAAAAUUGCAGCCUCAUAAAAUUGUGCUUUCUGGGUUUUGCACUUUUGCCUCUAUUUUAAGGGUUGAAAUUUGCCGUCAACUUGGCUGCUUUAUGAUGCUUGGAUUGUUUUGGCUGGACAAAUAUAUACUUGAUCUAGCGACUCUAGCCUUUUCUUAUUCACAUGGUCUGUGAGACAUUUGAGUUUCUUGGUUCUUUCAUCUCUUCCUUCAUCUGAGUGAUAGGGUUUUUUCUUGAGAAAAUCUAUAAUCUAAAAUUAACUAUUUGUGGGUUCAAUCUCUAUCUUUGUGAGGUUUUUGAUUGCUUUGUGCAGUCAGUGAGAUUGUGAGAUACUUUUGAAUACAGUUUUGUAAAAUAGAGAGGCAACAAAGAACUUGAAGAAAUCGCUUUCUUCGUACAUUUGUACUGAUUUUUUGGUUGAUAUUAGUGGACCUAGAGUGUAAUCUCGUGGCAGAUGCUCAACGGGUGAUUAAAUUGAAAGACUGAAAAUCCGAGCACUAGUCUAGGGCAAAAGCAUAUUGUUUGUCUUGUGUUCUUUUAAAUUUUUGCAAAUUUAGUUGUUCAGUCUUUAUUCAAAAUUUAAAAGCCCUAGUCUAGGGCAAAAACAUAUUGUUUGUCUUGUGUUCUUUUAAAUUUUUGCAAAUUUAGUUGUUCAGUCUUUAUUCAAAAUUUAAAAAUUGGUCUUGAAUGACAAGUGUUAUUAGAGCCAUUUUCUGGAAAUCUUAGAUCGGAUUGUGUUUGUUUUUGGUGUAUGUGAAAACCCUAAUUUUUAAAUUUCUGAGAUCCAAAAUUUUCUCAGAUUUGUAAAAAAGGCAAAUGAUGGUUUAGAAAGGGAGUGCUUCAUAUUUUGCCCUGAUUCAACCUUUGGUUGGAUCUUUUUGGUGUUUUCUAGCAUUCUUGAUUUUAGAUCUGAAGAUUUUCUUGAAGUCUUUAUAAAUGUUCUUGAGAUAAAACUCAUUUUUUUCUCAUAACUCAUUCUAACUUAGUGUUAACUCUGUUCUAAUAUGGUGUUUUGUGUUGAGUUCCAACGAUCCCUAAGUCGACGCAUUAAUGAAUCUUAUGAGUACUUCAACUCAUACUAAGUUUGACGAGCUGAGUUGAAUCGUCCCAAUUCCAGCUGAGUUUAUACCAAGUUUCUAAUGAUUCACUGAUAUUUUCCACAUACACUGGAAGUCUUGACUAAACUUUGGUAUUUUCUUGCGGUUCCCUUUCCAAAAUUCUAAAAUUUCAAACUUUGGUAUAUCACUGAACCCCUUCUUUUAAUUUGUUACUGUCUCUUGUUAAAUUUGGAAUUGGUUAUUAAGGUAAGUGAUCCUCCUCUGCUUUCCUUUGUCCAAGAUCUCAUUGAGGAUUAAGGAAUCUGGGGGAGCAGUGGAACAAAAGAAUUACCACUCCUUAAUUUUCAGAUUAACAACUAUACCACUAUAAACUGCAUGUUAAGUAGGUGUAACAGUAAUUUUCUACUGCAUUCAGAUAUUUACCUACUUGUUACUUUAAUAACUUCCCUCAAUCAAUCAUACUCUCUAUUGUGUUUAACUACAAUCUUGUACUUGCAUUUGUCAUCAUGUCCACUACACAAAAAUUCGAAAUUGAGACAUGGAAUGGUACUGGAGAUUUUAAUCUCUAGCACCAGAAGAUGAGGGCUUUGUUAUUACAGCAAAGAUGUGCUGCUGCCCUUGAUGGAACUUGGACUGUAGAAACUAGUCAUUAUUGGAGACAAGAACUGGAUGAUACUGCCUGGAGUACUAUUUUUUCUAUCUAUCUGAUAGUGUGAUUAGGAAAGUAGGAGAAACUACAUUUGCUGAAGCCUUAUGAACUAAGUAGGAACACUUUAUCUAACUAAAUCCAUGCCUAAUAAAUGUUAUCUCCAAAGGCAGUUCUAUAACUUUAGAUUUGAUCCCUUUUCUGGUCUAGAAGAAAAUCUUGACCAAUUUACUAAGUUAGUUCAGGACUUAGAGAACUAUGACGAAAAGCUAUCAAAUGAUCAACAAGUAGUUUCUUUAUUGAACUCUCUAAGUGAAAGAUACAGGGUUAUCAGAAAUGCCUUAGAAUAUUGAGGAUGGGACAUUACCGUAGACAUAAUAACCUCAACCUUGAGGAACAAGGAGCUCGAAUUAAAAUCUGAGUCCAAAGAUUUUAAAUUUGGAGAACGGUUACAUAUAAAAGAGAAACCAAAUCAAAAGAAGAAACAAAACCAAUACAACUUUAAUUCUCAUAAGAAAGGAAAAUCUCAAUAUCACAGACCUAAAGACAAGAAUAAGAACUAUGUUGAAUCCAAAAACUAGAUCAAGAAAUGUUAUUAUUAUGGAAAAACUAGACACUUAAUAAAAUAUUGUUUAAAGAAAAUCUCUGAUGUGAAGGACAAGAAUAACACCGAUGGUUCUACGGUUGUGGCCUGCAAAACUGAAUCUGAUAUUUAGGGUGUUGUUCUUGUUAGCACUUCCAGAAGAAACCCAAAAGAAUAGGUUCUUGAUUCUGGUUACACUUUCCACAUGUAUCCUGUUAAAGAAUGUUUCUCUAAAUUUGUUGACCUCGGUGGAGGACAAAUUCAAAUGGAAAAUGUUGUCAAAUACAAGAAGUUGGUAAAGUAAGAUUGUUGUUAGAUAACAACUAUAUUCUUGAGCUGGAAAACACUAGAUAUGUUUCUAAACUGAAAAGGAAUCUUAUUUCCUUAGGAGAACUAGAUGAGAAAUAUAACAUCGUGAUUCAUAAGGGUCUUAUAAGACUAAAUGAAGGAAAUAAGAAUGUUAUAUCCUCUCCUAAGAUAAAUGACAUAUAUACUGUCUUUGCUGAACCUAUAAUAAGCCAUUGUACUGCUACUUUAAACUCUGCUCCUAAUAGGGCUUUAAUAUGGCAUAAAAGACUUGGUCAUAUCUCAGAAAAGGGCCUAAUCAUUCUAAACAAAUUUGGGUGUUUUGGAAAUGACAACAUUAAAAGGUUGGACUUUUGAGAAUUGCUUAAUUGGAAAACAAAAAAAAAAAAUGCCUUUUAAAACUGAAACUCAUAAAUCCACUUCUAUUUUAGAUUACUUACAUGCUGACCUAUAGGUUUCAGCAUCUAUGAGCACUUUAAGUGGAUUUUGGUUCUAUCUGCUUAUAGUAGAUGAUUUUUCAAGAAAAAUCUAGACCUUUCUUUUCCUUUUUUUUUUUUUUUAAAGUUUGAUUACCAGCUAACUAGAGAAAGAAGGAUUAUUGUACCUUCCACUAGAUUUUAUAAUGAGGAAUUUGUUGCCCUAUUUUUUACACUUAACUCCUUGAAUUCUGAACCUACCACCUUUGACGAAGCCAUUAAAUGUCCUGAUUCUAAACUUUGAAAAAGAAGCAAUGAAAGAGGAAAUGGAUUCUCUUAUUAAAAAUAAAACCUGAAUUUUGGUCAGUAGACCUAAAAAUCAAAAGAUAGUUGAUUGUAAGUGAAUCUUUAAGAUUAAACAAGGAGAUUCAAAUCUAGUGGCAAAAGGUUUCACUCAAAAGGAAGAAAUGGACUAUAAUGAAAUAUUUUCACCAGUUGCUAAGUAUACUUCUAUUAGAAUUUUAUUAGCUUUAAUUGCACAUUUUAACUAGGAAAUGGAUCAACUUGAUGUUGAUGAUAUGUUACUUGCUUGUCAUGAGAGAACUAAGAUUGAUUCUGUUAAAACAAAGCUAAAAUCUAAAUUUGAAAUGAAAUAUUUAGGGCAAGCCAAGAGGAUUCUAAGAAUGAAAAUAGAAAGAGACAAAAAUAAUUGCACAUUACUGUUAAAACAAGGCUCCUAUGUGAAGAAAGUCAUUGAAAACUUGUUUAUGCUUGAGUGUAAGCAUGUUUCUCUUCCCAUUGCUAAUUGUUGCGGAAGCUCUCUCAAAAGGAUCUUCAAACGGUGAUUUUUCAGGCUCAGUCCAACGUACCUUUCUCUACCAACAACCAAUCCACACGGCUCCAAACCACAACCAAAUUGAUUCACCUUGGUUGCUAUACAAUCUUACCCACGUAGGACAAGAAGGGAUGAUGAUUUAUCGCCACAAAGGCUAGGAGAAGACACCACAAAGGUAUACUAUGAAAGAACUACCAAUUGCACACGUUAUACAAGCGUUUUGGACACUUCUGGACACCUUUUUCUCACACAAAAGGAGGGCAGCCGGGAUUCACUAGUUUCUUCUCUCAAAAUCACACAAUCAUCAUCACAAAGAGGCUAGGGUUAUAUUCAGAUAUAUACUCUAGGGUUAGGCUUUAAGUUGGGCCACUAAAGGGGUAAGCGGGCCAAGAUUCAAGCCAUCCAUAAGGAAUACAAUUGGGCCGGGUGUAGCUCAUGGACUUGGUUGUUGGACUUAUUUCAUUCAUUGGCCUAUGCCUAUGAAAUAAUAUUAACCCACGUUAACAUCAUAGCCCGGGAUUUAUUGGGUAUCAAAACCCAACACUAAUCAUUUUAAACUGUCUAGUGAACAAUUACCUAAAACUGAUGGUGAAUUUAAAAGAAUGGAAAAAGUACCUUAUGCUAAUGUUUUAGGUUCCGUUAUGUAUCUUAUGGUUUGCAUCAGACCUGACUUAGCACAUGGUAUUAGUAUUUUGAGUAGAUUUAUGGCUAACCCUGGUGAAACUCAUUGGCUUGCCAUGGAAUGGAUGUUAAGAUACUUAAGAGGCUCAUCUGAUUUUGGAUUAAUGUUUAAAGGAAGAAAUGAAGGAAUACAGUUAAAGGGAUACACAGAUUCUGACUUUGUUGGUGAAUUAGACAAAAGAAGAUCUCCCUUUUCUUACAUUUUUUACUUUGUGUAAUGGAUGCAUUAGUUAGAAGUCUCAACUGUAAAAAUUAGUUGCCUUGUCUUCAACUGAAGUUGAAUACAUUACUACGUGUGAUGCUGUAAAAGAGAGCAUCUGGUUAAAGGUUUAUUAAAUGAAAUUGAUUUACUAAAUGAUUCUGCUAUUUACACUGAUAAUCAAAGUACUAUACAACUUAGUAAAAAUCUUGUAUAUCAUUAUAGGACCAAACAUAUAGACAUAAAAUUCCAUUUUGUACGAAAUAUGGUUGAAUAAGUUUUAAUUAGAUUUGCAAAAAUUUCUAUAGAAUUUAAUCAUUUUGAUUUGGGGACUAAGGUAUUGCCUUUUAAACAAAUUUAAGAUUUGUUUGAAGAUUCUAAAUAUCACUUGAGGCAAUAAUAUUCUAGAACUUCAAGUAUCAAUAUUAACAGAUAUGGACUGACUUAAUUUUUUAUUUUUUACAGGUAGUUAGAGCAAAUGAAGCCAUUCGAUAACUCUAGAUCCAAUUAUAGAGGCCAAGAAUUAGUUCAACAAGGUAGAGAUUGUUAAAACUUUGGGCUGCCUCACUAUGAUUCUUAGCCAGUCGAGCAUGAUGUUUAAGUUUGGUUAAAAUUGCAGUCUUAUAAAAUCGUGUUUUCUGAGUUUUGCACUUUUGCCUCUAUUUUAAGGGUUGAAAUCAGUCAUCAACAUGGCCGCUUUAUGACCUUUGGAUCGUGACUUUUUGGCUGGAUAGAUAUAUACUUGAUAUCGCCUUUUCUUAUUCAAUUGGUGUGUGAGACUUUUGAGUUUCUUGGUUCUUUCCUCUCUUCCUUCAUCUGAGUAAUAGGGUUUUUUCUUGAGUAAAUUUCUAAUCUGAAAUUAACUCUUUAUGGGUUCAAUCUCUACCUUUGUGAGGUUUUUGAUUGCUUGUGCAGUCACUGAGAUUGUGAGAUACUUUUGAUUACAAUUUGGUAAAAUAGAGAGGCAACAAAGAACUUUUCUUCAAUACAUUUGUACUGAUUUUUAGUUGAUAUUAGUGGAUCUAGAGUGUAAUCUUAUGGUAGAUACGGACUAAGUCGAAAGACUGAACAUCCGAGCCCUAUUCUAGGGUAAAAAUAUAUCAUUUAUCUUGUGUUCUUCUAAAUUUCUGCAAAUUUAUUUGUUGUUCAAACAAAUCGAUCCUUCUAAGAUAAUUGGUUUUGAAUAACAGUAGAGGUAUCUGGGAAGCAGGGGUUGGGUUUGGGAUGGGAUGAAGAGGGAGGCCAUGGGCGGAUUUAGAGGUGGGCUGCACUUGGCUGCAACCCAUUGUUGACCAGGCCUUAAAAAAAAAAAUUGUGUGAAUUGUAGUCCAAUAGCCCAUAUGUAACCACAUUAGCCCACCAACAAUUUAAUUCAGUGGGCUAGUCCACCUAAAAAAAUUUUUGUGCUUUAAUCUUUAGCCCACUAAUUUAACCCAAACCCACUUAAAUGUAUCAAUUGAUAAAAUCCAUUUAUCUCAUUUCUUUCCAUUCCUUACCACGUGAACUAUAAGUUUUGCAAAAUCAAUUGAAAAUGAAAUCAUUCCCAAAAAUCAAAAACCCUACAUCUCUUCCCCUUUCCCGGCCCUGACCGUAGCCGCCGUCCCGCCGACCUGGACCGCCGUCGCCCGUCGGCCCGUCGUCACGUGCCACUGUGCCGCCGACUCGCUAGCUUGACCCCGCAGGCCGCAACCGCAUCCCAUCUUCCCAGUUCGGCAGUUCCCACAUUCUUGCUUCAGUCGACUAAGUCGAGGUUUGGAGGUUCCAUUCUGAAAUUGAAUCUUCAUCUUUAAUCUUCAUUACAGUUAGUUAAUCAUUAAUUAUUUAUUUAUUUGCAUUUCGCAGUUCACACUAAUGAAAUAGAUAAUCUAUUUCUCUAUGACCUCCUUUCUAUGAAAAAGAUAAUUUGUCAUUUUGUUGUAAUUGGAAAAAUUUGAAUAAUUGAUGAGAAUGGGUUUUGUUACUUGAUGGAUUUUGAUUGUCAGCAGUGAGUUUGAAAUGAGAGAAUUUUGGUUUUGAAUUAGAACCCAAUUCUUUCAAAAUUUUGGGUGAAAUAGGAUGCCUUUAAUGUGUUUGAUAAAUUUCCCUCAAAUUUUCACUGAUGCAUAGGGUGAUUUGUUGUGGAGUCUUGUGGUGAUUAAAAUUGACAUUUGGAACAGAAAUUAGAAUCUUGGAUUUCUGUGGAAAGUGGAAAUUGAUUGGUCCAGAUUGGAUGAAAUUGCAAAUUACCGAAUACGUUUGUUUAGUCUCUAAUAUUUAGCCAAUUUUCAUGCUGAUUGCUGAUGCUUGCUUUAAGAAAAAUUACUUAUUUUUUAUUUAUAUGACAUUCUUAAAAGUAAAACUAUUGUUUAUUUUUGUAUAAUACUGGGUGAAGCACUGGAGCAUUUUCAUAGGCAUUAUGAUACUAUUUUCAUAGUUUUUUUUGGAUUCUUUUGUUUAAUUGUAGGUGAUGCUUUUGAUUUUUUGAAGUAUUGUGCUAUUUUCUAAGAAAAUGGUCCAAAAACUAAAAGGGUUAAGGAGGUUCAACUUUUCAAGGUUGGUUCUCAUUUCUCAAUCUCUGACUUUGGAUGAAAAAUAUUAUUUCAUAGGUUAUAGCAAAUAGUAAAUUGGUUUUAUAUGGUUAUGGUUUUAUUAAUUUAAUUUUAUGCCUUUAUGUGAUAUUGAAGUAUCUUGUUUUUUAUGCUUUUAGAUUUAAUAUGGAAGAAGAUCGACCUUCUAACAAGAAAGGAAGAACUUUGUUGUCUUUUUUUUUUUUUCAAAAAGUAAUAAAUCUCAAGAUUCUCCAAUUCCUAUGGCGCCCAUUCCUCCAAUUUCAUCCCAAGAAGUUGUACGGCCUUUAUCUUCCAAUCUUAAUGUAGAAUCAUCUGAUUCUAUUGAACGGGACCCUGGAAAAAGAAAACAAAUAUGUGAACAUCCACGUAACGAACGCGAUCAGAUUAGGCGAGCUUAUCUAAAUGUUGGACCUUAUCAACCAAAACUUUGGGAGUAUCAGAGCAAAGAAUGUGGAAAGCAGAAACGUCGAUUUCAGGAACGUUGGUACAAUCAGUUUCCUUGGUUGGAAUAUUCGCCUUCAACACAUAAGGCAUAUUGUUUUUAUUGUUUCCUCUUUCUCAAUGAGAGUACUCCACCUAAUAUUUCAUCAUUGGUUACUAUUGGGUUUGAUAGUUGGAAGAGGGUUAACCAAGGAAGUAAAUGUGCAUUUCUUAUUCAUGUUGGUACAACAUCUUCGUCGUUUCAUAAUGGCUGUAAGAGAAGUGCUGAAGAUCUAAUGAAACCAACUCAACAUAUUGACAAGGUAAUGCAUUCUUUAUCAAAUAAUUAAAACGUUUCACGCUAAUAUAUAAACGUGAUGUCAAUAUAACUCCAUUUUUGUUCGUCUCACCACGCUUUAAAGAUUCUAAACUUUCAAUUAUUGUUAUAAUUAUGUCCUAACUUUUUCGUCACAUUUUUAUAAUUAACCUAUCAUUGAUUAGCACAUAUUUUCACUAAGAUAAGUAUGCAACACGAGCGUUGCACAAGAGUUUGUAAUGGUAUUGUGAGAUUUUUUUUAUUUUCAAAUAUUUAAAUAAUUAUAGAUCACUUAAAAACUGCAAUCAAAAUAUAAAAAUCUUGCACUUAAAAACAUGGUGGAAUAUAUCAAUUACUUCCAUAUUACAUCGUGACAGCUGUUAAGUCUUGGAUGCUAAAAAUGAAUAUUUUGAUAUAUUAUAUGAAGAAUUGAUAUAUGAGUAAAAACAUCAAAAAAUUUCAAAUUCAUCAUGAACGUCCUAUCUUUACCAUACAUUUCAAGUUAAAUAAUUGGAGUGUUCAUUGAUGCUGAAUUGAAAUCAUAAGAGAACAACACUACUUCUAAAAAAUAGAAUAAUUAUGAUUUGUUUUGAAAUUAUUUAAUGUCACGCUCUUUUUUCCCUUUGUGGAAUUUUUGUAAUUGUAACACAACUGCCUUAAUUUGGAUAAUAUUUGAUUGAAAAGGAAUUUUGGUACUUUCUCAUGGUUGUGUGGUCAAUAUGCACAUAACAAUUGUCAAAGUCAUUCAUAAAAUAAUAAUAAUAAUAAAAUAAAUUUGGAGGAGCCUAGAACAUUUCUGUACUUUUCGUGAUGUGCAAAGAGCGCACUCCGUGCUUCACGCUGAGCAAUUUCCGUGCGUGCACUAUCCAGGUCAUCGCACAUAAAUAAAACAAGAUUACAAACACUUCUUUUUCUUUCUUAAUCCAUCUAAUCUAUCUUACAAAACAUGGACAAAUUCCACAAAAUUUUCAGAAUUUUUAGACCUAAGAACACACGUCUUCCUAAAACAAAUGAAAUAUGCAAGAAAAAUCGAUUUUAAAAUUUAUAAUGAAGUAGAAGAAGAGCACAGACCUAAGUAUUUGACUAAUUACUUCAUAGACGAAUCUUAUCUGCACAACUUCAUCCCCAAAAUAAAGAGAAACUGCAAAUUGAUUAACAUACACAUACCAUGAGAGCCAUCAACUCUUUCUACAAUCUAAAAAUACACCAAAAUAUGCAUAAGUUCCGAUUGAAUUUCUCGAUAACUAAAGAACAAACUGGAAGUAAACACGAAAACCAACAAAUUUGAUUAAAAAACACAAAUAAGAAUAAAAAAUUACACCUUUAGGUAACAGAAUCCGUAUCAACAGAAUUAGGAGACUCCUUGACUUGCUUGCCAGAAUACAACAACAAGAGAUAGAAAAUACUGAAAAAUUAGAUGAAGAAAAUCAACAAAAUAAAGCUUUGAUUUUUUCACUCACAGCACACGCUAAGUCAUUGAUAAACAACAUUUAUGUAUUCUGUAAAUUUUUGGAGGAGCCCAAAACACUGACACUUAACUUAUAGACGAGACUCCAAAAAAAACCUUCUCUUUCAAGCUUUCCACAGUUUCAUUGAUGCUUUCUCUAAGAGGAGUAAAUUCAAUGCCCAAGGUUUUUGCUUCUCGUUUGGAAUGGAGGAUUUGUUGAAGAGGCGUGGUCGAAAAGGGUGUUUCUUUGUCAGAAGGCAUGUUUUUCCUUUGCUGAAAAACUGUGAUUCCACAAUUUUUUUGUAAAAGAAAAUAAAAAUAAAAGAGUGAAAUCCGUACAGGACAAUUAUAUGUUUGACACAUGUCCAGCCGUUCUUUCACUCUUUGUAGAAUUCUUAUUUCAAAGAAUGCACAAUCAACAAUUUGCAUUAGACCUUCAAGUUUUUUACAAUGCCUUUGUCCAUAACAGCUAAAAUUUCAUAAAAUGAGUGUCGUAAAAAGUUUCCAUAACAUUUAUGUAGGUCAAACUACAUAAAAGGUUGUCGUGAAAAGUAAACUAAUUCGACAAGCUCUCACGAUCUAAGUAUCAAACCUCGAACUCGAGACGGAGAGUUGGCUUACCUAAUUCCUACAAAUACAUUGGUCAAAAUUAGUGCAAUGAUAGACUGAUAGUUGAGGUCUCAAAUAAGAUAAUUUAGUCAGAAAGAAAAAAAAUUAAACAAAGAAAAGAAGGAGCUAGAGUGCUGAAUUGAAUAAGUAUACAUUUGACAAACAAACAAAUAACAGUGUGGAUCAGAAACAGUAUUCAAGUAACAAAGGCAGUAAAAAACAAGUUACCAAUAGCACAUUUCAUAGUCAAAAUUCUAUUAGGAUUUCUCAGUCAAAACUCUGUUUGCAUGGUGCUUGAUAUCUUGGAUAAGCAAUGUCAUGUUCUGGUAAGAGGAACCCCCAUCUUCAGGUGCCAUUUUUGCCAUUUUUCCAAGCUUUUUUGCUCUAUCUCGUCUCUCUUCUCCCUCUUCUCCCCCAUCCAUCAACCUGUCGAUAAUCCUCGUAAUUUCAACAGUCUCAACCUGUAAUCCUAUUUUUUCUUCAUCUCCAAAGGUAACAGGUAAUUCAACACCUACCCUCAAUCCUGUCUUGAGCACAUUCACAAUGAACUUCUCAUUGCAAAACUGCUCUGCGAAUAUUGGCCAUGUUAUCAUAGGUACACCAGCACAUAUGCCUUCUAGAGUCGAGUUCCAUCCGCAGUGCGUUAAGAAUCCCCCAAUAGUGGGAUGGGACAAUAUAAGUACUUGUGGUGCCCAACCAUGGAUUAAAAGGCCUCUAUCCUUAAUCCUCUCCUCGAAUUUUUCUCCAACUAGCCAUGCUUGAAAUUCAUCCGAUACCUUUCGAAUAACCCACACGAACGGUCUAUUGGACGCUUCUAAGCCUAAACCAAGCUCUAUCAGUUGUGCAGUUGCUAGUCGAGAUAAACUUCCUAGGCAAACAUAAAGAACAGAGUUCAGUUCCUGCGAAUUGAGCCAUUUCAUGCAACGAUCUUCAUCAAUUGAGGCCUUGUUACCUCUUUCAGCCUUGUCUAACUGUUCUUUGUUGUAUAAAGAAACUGGACCAAUACACCAAACCUUUUUGCCUCUCACCUUUAUAUAUUCUUUCAAAUACUCAGGUUCCAACUCUUCGAAAGUAUUAGCCACUACCCCAAAUGCUUCUGUCUCAGCCUCCUUUAUCAGCUCCCUUACAGCGUUCCAAUCUGAUGUCAUUUGAUUGACAGUUCCUCUAAGCUGAGCCUUAGUUAGUUCAAUUCCACCAGGCAAUCCAGGCACGACGAAAUACUCCAAGUCAGAGGCUAUGUUUGAUUGAAAAGGAAUUUUGGUACUUUCUCAUGUUUGUGUGGGCAAUAUGCACAUAACAUUUGUCAUAGUCAUUCAUAAUAAUAAUAAUAAUAAUAAUAAUAAUAAUAAUAAUAAUAAUAAUAAUAAUAAUAAAAAUAAAUUUGGAGGAGCCCAAAACAUUUAUGUACUUUUCGUGUUGUGCAAAGAGCACACUUCGUGCUUCACGCUGAGCAAUUUCCAUGCGUGCACUAUUCAGGUCAUCGCACAUAAAUAAAACAAGAUUACAAACACUUCUUUUUCUUUCUUAAUCCAUCUAAUCUAUCUUACAAAAUAUGUACAAAUUCCACAAAAUUUUCAGAAUUUUUAGACCUAAGAACACACGUUUUCUUAAAACAAAUGAAAUAUGCAAGAAAAAUCGAUUUUAAAAUUUAUAAUGAAGUAGAAGAAGAGCACAGACCUAGGUAUUGGACUAAUUACUUCAUAGACAAAUCUUAUCUGCACAACGUCAUCCCCAAAAUAAAGAGAAACUGCAAGUUGAUUAACAUACACAUACCAUGAGAGCCAUCAACUCUUUCUACAAUCUAAAAAUACACCAAAAUAUGCAUAAGUUCCGAUUGAAUUUCUCGAUAACUAAAGAACAAACUGGAAGUAAACACGAAAACCAACAAAUUCGAUUAAAAAACACAAAUAAGAAUAAAAAAUUACACCUUUAGGUAACAGAAUCCGUAUCAACAGAAUUAGGAGACUCCUUGACUUGCUUGCCAGAAUACAACAACAAGAGGUAGAAAAUACUGAAAAAUUAGAUGAAGAAAAUCAACAAAAUAAAGCUUUGAUUUUUUCACUCACAACACACGCUAAGUCAUUGAUAAACAACAUUUAUGUAUUCUGUAAAUUUUUGGAGGAGCCCAAAACACUGACACUUAACUUACAGACGAGACUCCAAAAAAAUUCUUCUCUUUCAAGCUUUCCAUAGUUUCAUUGAUGCUUUCUCUAAGAGGAGUAAAUUCAAUGCCCAAGGUUUUUGCUUCUCAUUUGGAAUGGAGGAUUUGUUGAAGAGGCGUGGUCGAAAAGGGUGUUUCUUUGUCAGAAGGCAUGGCUUUGCUUUGCUGAAAAACUGUGAUUCCACAAUUUUUUUGUAAAAGAAAAUAAAAAUAAAAGAGUAAAAUCCGUACAGUAUGUUUGACACAUGUCCAGCCAUUCUUUCACUCUUUGUAGAAUUCUUAUUUCAAAGAAUGCACAAUCAACAAUUUGCAUAAGACCUUCAAGUUUUUUACAAUGCCUUUGUCCAUAACAGCUAAAAUUUCAUAAAAUGAGUGUCGUAAAAAGUUUCCAUAACAUUUAUGUAGGUCGAACUACAUAAAAGGUUGUCGUGAAAAGUAAACUAAUUCGACAAGCUCUCACGAUCUAAGUAUCAAACCUCGAACUCGAGAUGGAGAGUUGGCUUACCUAAUUCCUACAAAUACAUUGGCCAAAAUUAGUGUAAUGAUAGACUGAUAGUUGAGGUCUCAAAUAAGAUGAUUUAGUCAGAAAGAAAAAAAAUUAAACAAAGAAAAGAAGGAGCUAGAGAGCUGAAUUGAAUAAGUAUACAUUUGACAAACAAACAAAUAACAGUGUGGAUCAGAAACAGUAUUCAAGUUGCAAAGGCAGUAAAAAUCAAGUUACCAAUCUAGAUCAAAAUUCUAUUAGGAUUUCUCUAUCAAAACUCUGUUUGCAUGGUGCAUGAUAUCUUGGAUAAGCAAUGACAUGUUCUGGUAAGAGGAACCCCCGUCUUCAGGUGCCAUUUUUGCCAUUUUUCCAAGCUCUUUUGCUCUAUCUCUUCUCUCUUCUCCCUCUUCUCCCCCAUCCAUCAACCUGUCGAUAAUCCUCGUAAUUUCAACAGUCUCAACCUGUAAUCCCAUUUUUUCUUCAUCUCCAAAGGUAACGGGUAAUUCAACACCUACCCUCAAUCCUGUCUUCAGCACAUUCACAAUGAACUUCUCAUUGCAAAACUGCUCUGCGAAUAUUGGCCAUGUUAUCAUAGGUACACCAGCACAUAUGCCUUCUAGAGUCGAGUUCCAUCCGCAGUGCGUUAAGAAUCCCCCAAUAGUGGGAUGGGACAAUAUAAGUACUUGUGGUGCCCAACCAUGGAUUAAAAGGCCUCUA
rnacentral:lncRNA from 1 species